GGUGGCUCACUGGUAGAGGGCUUGCCUUGCAUGCAUGAGGCCCUGGGUUCGAUUCCCCAGCACCA
rnacentral:tRNA from 1 species